rnacentral:rRNA from 1 species
CUGGCUCAGGAUGAACGCUAGCUACAGGCUUAACACAUGCAAGUCGAGGGGCAGCAUGAGAUCAGCUUGCUGAUCUGAUGGCGACCGGCGCACGGGUGAGUAACGCGUAUCCAACCUUCCCCCUGCUCAGGGAUAGCCCGCUGAAAGGCGGAUUAACACCUGAUAGCUUCACUAGAUGGCAUCUGACGGUGAAUAAAGAUAACGGCAAGGGAUGGGGAUGCGUCUGAUUAGCUUGUUGGCGGGGUAACGGCCCACCAAGGCGACGAUCAGUAGGGGUUCUGAGAGGAAGGUCCCCCACAUUGGAACUGAGACACGGUCCAAACUCCUACGGGAGGCAGCAGUGAGGAAUAUUGGUCAAUGGGCGGAAGCCUGAACCAGCCAAGUAGCGUGCAGGAUGACGGCCCUAUGGGUUGUAAACUGCUUUUGUACGGGAAUAAGGUGACCCACGUGUGGGUUUUUGCAUGUACCGUAAGAAUAAGGACCGGCUAAUUCCGUGCCAGCAGCAGC